UGGGGAAUAUUGCACAAUGGGCGCAAGCCUGAUGCAGCCAUGCCGCGUGUGUGAAGAAGGCCUUCGGGUUGUAAAGCACUUUCAGCGGGGAGGAAGGCGUUAAGGUUAAUAACCUUGGCGAUUGACGUUACCCGCAGAAGAAGCACCGGCUAACUCCGUGCCAGCAGCCGCGGUAAUACGGAGGGUGCAAGCGUUAAUCGGAAUUACUGGGCGUAAAGCGCACGCAGGCGGUUUGUUAAGUCAGAUGUGAAAUCCCCGGGCUCAACCUGGGAACUGCAUCUGAUACUGGCAAGCUUGAGUCUCGUAGAGGGGGGUAGAAUUCCAGGUGUAGCGGUGAAAUGCGUAGAGAUCUGGAGGAAUACCGGUGGCGAAGGCGGCCCCCUGGACAAAGACUGACGCUCAGGUGCGAAAGCGUGGGGAGCAAACAGG
rnacentral:rRNA from 1 species